GGCACAACAUGACGGCACGGUUCCCCGCACGGCGCGCAGCGUCAGGGGAUCAAAUGGGAAUGUGGACGCGCCGAUCCUGUCAGGGAGGCGCCAAGCCACAGCCGCCCCCGCGACUGUAUGCGGAGAGUGCCUUGUUAACAUGCCACUGGGUCCGCCCGGGAAGGCAACAAGGUGCAUCGACCCGCAAGCCAGGAGACCAGCCAUGCACCGGGGAUCGCCC
rnacentral:ncRNA from 19 species